rnacentral:rRNA from 1 species
UACAGAGGUCCCAAGCGUUGUUCGGAUUCACUGGGCGUAAAGGGUGCGUAGGUGGCGAGGAAAGUCGGAUGUGAAAGCUCGGAGCUCAACUCCGAAAUGGCAUUGGAAACUACCUUGCUCGAGGGUUGGAGGGGGGACUGGAAUUCUCGGUGUAGCAGUGAAAUGCGUAGAUAUCGAGAGGAACACCAGUGGCGAAGGCGAGUCCCUGGACAACUCCUGACACUGAGGCACGAAAGCUAGGAGAGCAAACAGG